rnacentral:rRNA from 1 species
AUUGAACGCUGGCGGCAUGCUUUACACAUGCAAGUCGAACGGUAACAGGCCGCAAGGUGCUGACGAGUGGCGCACGGGUGAGUAAUGCAUCGGAACGUGCCUAGUCGUGGGGGAUAACUACUCGAAAGAGUAGCUAAUACCGCAUACGAUCUAUGGAUGAAAGCGGGGGACCGUAAGGCCUCGCGCGAUUGGAGCGGCCGAUGUCAGAUUAGGUAGUUGGUGGGGUAAAGGCUCACCAAGCCAACGAUCUGUAGCUGGUCUGAGAGGACGACCAGCCACACUGGGACUGAGACACGGCCCAGACUCCUACGGGAGGCAGCAGUGGGGAAUUUUGGACAAAGGGCGCAAGCCUGAUCCAGCAAUGCCACGUGCAGGAAGAAGGCCUUCGGGUUGUAAAGUGCUUUUGUACGGAACGAAACGGCUCUGGUUAAUACCCGGGGCUAAUGACGGUACCGUAAGAAUAAGCACCGGCUAACUACGUG